CGGAUGCAUUUAUGAAGGCAAGUGUUGGGUCUUAUUGGCGCCGCACAAGAAACCAACGUGUGAAACCCAGGCAUUCACUGUUAGAAACAGGAAGAAGCUAUGGGCCCUUGCUUCAGAUUCUGCAAAAGAUGUACCAAGGCUGAGGAAAGUGGCAAAAAGGGAAGAAAUGCCGUAGCAUAACUUUGGGAUGGCAGAUUGUACACAAAUGGGAGGCCUGAGCAGGCUGCUUUUAGCAGGGGAACAUGACCUGACUGCACAGGAGGCAAGGAACUCUCUUCUCUCGCUGACCAUGAGCCCUCAGUUUCAAAUGUGAAGAGGAAUAUUUGACCCGUGGGAAAUGCAACUUCAGAUACGUAACCCAGGUGUUGCUGAAACAAAGAAGUCCAAGAGUACCAGGGAGUUGCCUCCCCUUCAGGAGGAAAGGAAGCAAAACAACUUGCCAGAUGAAGUGCUGGUCCAUUUCACCUAUGCAAACAGGAAAGGAGUGAAGAAACAAUGAGAUUGUAUGUGAGAUGCAAAGACGCAGGAUUUCUGGAUAAUAUUACUGUAUUCUGGUCAAGCUUUAACGUUCAGAUCUGUAACAGCAGGGUUCCAAUACGCCCUUGUUUUUUUGCCCCACAGAAAAAAAUGCACUACCAUUCUACAACCACACACUUUUCCCAUCUGAGAGGCGAACAAAACAUCAUGGCUAUUGGAAAAGAGUAGCAUAAAGAUAAAAGAGCCUAGGUGAUAUCAAUUUAAGCUAUCUACGUUUAGGUUAAAAGAAAACUUCAGGCGAGGAAGAAAAAAAAUAUUUCACACGUGCAUAAUAGAAUGAGCUUAACUGGAGAACUCUUUAGGGGGACCAAUGAACUGAAAACCAUUUAAGGAGUGGUCACAACACUUGCUAAAGGGAUCUUUUCCAGAAAAAAAAAAAAAAGUUGUUAAGCAAGUUUUUCAUCCAAUGAGUUUAAAAUUCAAUGGAAAUAAGUAUUCAAUCUGAGCGAACAUAAGUCACUGGGCAUGCCUUUUUAUUUUCAUUACAUCAUCACAAGAAUACAUGCAAUAGUUAUAAAUUUCGUGCAUUUGCAAACCUGUUUUGAUGCUGCUGAGGACACAGUUAACAUUCUAGAUUGGGGUGCAAAUUUAGUGAUGCUGGGUUUGCAUUUCUUUUGGACACUGUAUUCUGCCAGAAGACAUUAGUUCUUCUCUUCUGUCUCCAGCAAUGUGCUGCUGACAGCGUACAGUAACCGACUCAAAAACAGCAGAAGUUUUUCCUCAGCUUGUGUCUUGGAUGGAUUGUUUUGAAUCAGUAAGGAGGAGUUCUACUCUACUACCUGUAAGUAGAUGUCCUAGGUUUUCUAGCACAGAUCUAUACAGUUCUUUAAAUAUUUCUUUAUAUAUAUAUAUUUCUUAUAAAACUUAAACAAGAAGAAUGAUUUUUAGGGUGUUUGCUGUAUAACUAUAGUAAUGGUCUUUUUCUAGGGGAGACUCGCUAUUUGGUCAGCUCAACCAGUCCUUAUUUCAGUCAAUUCCGGUCAGCUCAGCGGUCCUUAUGCUCACCAAACACAACAAGAAGUAGCAGGACUGCAAGGCUGGAACAGGGGAAGCGCGAGACUUUCCCUUCAACUGUUGUAUCGGACAACUAGUUUGCUGUUGCUGCAGCUCAGACACUUUUCCGCUGGGUUGUGGGACACUCACCCACACACAGUAGUAUACUAUGACUCCACCACUUGCUUCGAGAACGACUUCAUAGUCGUUAGCUAACCAAAACCAGGCUUACGCAGCAUUUUGGCUGCCGACAAGUGCAAAAGGCAGCAGUUCCG